ACCACGCGUACGAUCUUUUGCGUUCUUGGUAUUGAGAAACACCCGGGGUUUAACACGAAACUGUACUACAUAACCUCGUAAUCAUAUCUCAGUGUCUGACGUUAACUAAAAUAUAAUUCUUGGUUAAGUAUUCUUUGAUAUAAGAAUUUUCCUAAUGUAACUGCCCUAACUUUCGGGGGAGUUAAACGUACACGGCUUGGAAGAUGAAAACCAGACGUGGCUUGUGGCGGCCCUGAGCAAUCACUGCAGAUGUCGGCUCUCUUUCUUUUGGGGGGGGUCCCCGUGCUCUGGGGGUGGAGGUUACGUCAUCGGGGCUAAUCCCGUUCGAGGUCUGGCGUAUGAGCCGCCUCAGAUGCUUCGUCGGCACUGUCAGACUCCCCCCCGCCCCCGGAGUGGUCCGCCCCGGCGCGAGUCCAAGAGGGAGCUUCGGCUAAUCCGAGGCCCGUCUCCUUCAGGCCAGUCAGAGGAGCCCCCUCCUGUUUUCCGAGCCGAUCCGAAUCCUGUAUGGGCUGUGGUCCCAUCCCGCGAUGUCCCACAAAAUCCAAAAUGCCUUUAUAUAUGAAGUUUGUUUGGAGGUGGUUAGGACACUGUGUCUGUGAUAACAAGGUCACCAGUUCAAGUGCCUGUUCUGGCAGAUUUUCCUGUUGGGCCCUUGAGC